rnacentral:misc_RNA from 1 species
AACGGUCUAUACCUGCGGUACCUGCGGAGGGAUCAUUACCGAGUUUACAACUCCCAAACCCAUGUGAACAUACCUAUUGUUGCUUCGGCGGGAUUGCCCCGGGCGCCUCGUGUGCCCCGGAUCAGGCGCCCGCCUAGGAAACUUAACUCUUGUUUUAUUUUGGAAUCUUCUGAGUAGUUUUUACAAAUAAAUAAAAACUUUUAACAAUGGAUCUCU